AGCGUCAAAAGGGCAUCCGGGGGAUGUCUUGGCGGUAAGAGGCGAUGAAGGACGUGGCACUCUGCGAUAAGCACGGGGGAGGCGAGAGCACCCUUUGAUCCCGUGAUUUCCGAAUGGGGAAACCCACCUCCGAGAUGAGAGACUACAGGCUGGCAUCCGUGUCAGCCCUUGGUCUUUCAUUUCACUAGAGAGGUAUUUCACACUGAAUACAUAGGUGUUGAAAAGCAAACCCGGGGAAUUGAAACAUCUAAGUACCCGGAGGAAAGGACAUCAACCGAGACUCCGCUAGUAGUGGCGAGCGAACGCGGACCAGGCCAGUGGCUUGCAUUUAAGAACCGGAACCGUCUGGAAAGUCGGGCAUUAGUGGGUGAUAGCCCCGUACGGGUAGAAAUUAUGCAAGUCCUCGAGUAGGGCGGGACACGUGAAAUCCUGUCUGAACGUGGGG
rnacentral:rRNA from 1 species